CUUGAACGCUGGCGGCAGGCCUAACACAUGCAAGUCGAACGAGUGGAGGACGGGUGAGUAAUGUCUGGGAAACUGCCUGAAGGAGGGGGAUAACUACGGGAAACGGUAGCUAAUAACGCAUACCAUCAGAUGGGCCCAGAUGGGAUUAGCUGGUUGGUGGGGUAACGGCUCACCAAGGCGACGAUCCCUAGCUGGUCUGAGAGGAUGACCAGCCACCCUGGAACUGGAACACGGUCCAGACUCCUCCGGGAGGCAGCAGUGGGGAAGAUUGCACAAUGGGCGAAAGCCUGAUCCAGCCAUGCCGCGUGUGUGAAGAAGGGCUUCGGAUUGUAAAGCACUUUAAGUUGGGAGGCGUUACCAACAGAAUAAGCACCGGCUAACUUCGUGCCAGCAGCCGCGGUAAUAC
rnacentral:rRNA from 1 species